AGAGUUUGAUCCUGGCUCAGAACGAACGCUGGCGGCAGGCUUAACACAUGCAAGUCGAGCGCCCCGCGAGGGGAGCGGCAGACGGGUGAGUAACGCGUGGGGAUGUACCCAAAGGUGCGGAAUAACUCAGGGAAACUUGAGCUAAUACCGCAUGUGCCCGAGAGGGGAAAGAUUUAUCGCCUUUGGAUCAACCCGCGUCAGAAUUAGCUAGUUGGUAGGGUAAUGGCCUACCAAGGCGACGAUCUGUAGCUGGUCUGAGAGGAUGAUCAGCCACACUGGGACUGAGACACGGCCCAGACUCCUACGGGAGGCAGCAGUGGGGAAUAUUGGACAAUGGGCGCAAGCCUGAUCCAGCCAUGCCGCGUGAGUGAUGACGGCCUUAGGGUUGUAAAGCUCUUUUAACAGGGACGAUAAUGACGGUACCUGUAGAAUAAGCCCC
rnacentral:rRNA from 1 species